rnacentral:lncRNA from 1 species
AUUAUUACCUGGGGAUUGUGCAAAUAUUUCAAAAUAUCCUAAUAAGACCGACCGUCCCUAGAGCAAGUGGUAAAGGACUUGCUGGUUGGUACCCGAGACCUAAGUUCGAAUCCUAGUUGAUUCACAUUUCUAGCUAAGUUUAUUUCUAAAUGAAAUAAACGAAGCGAGUAGCGUGCUACCUAUCUCUCAAAAAAAAAAAAAUCCUAAUAAGUGUAUUACAGAGACGANAAGUUCGAAUCCUAGUUGAUUCACAUUUCUAGCUAAGUUUAUUUCUAAAUGAAAUAAACGAAGCGAGUAGCGUGCUACCUAUCUCUCAAAAAAAAAAAAAUCCUAAUAAGUGUAUUACAGAGACGAAAUUAAUUACUCUAUGAUAAUAGAAAGAAAUAAUAAAAAAAUUUAAUUUAAAA